rnacentral:lncRNA from 1 species
AUGGAACUGCUUGAUUGGCCAGUGACUGGCCUCCUCACACCUACAACUUCAUCAAAACCGAACCCUUUCACUCCACUGCCAGCUCUUGAUUGGCCAGUGACUGGCCUCCUCACACCUACAACUUCAUCAAAACCGAACCCUUUCACUCCACUGCCAGCUCUUGAUUGGCCAGUGACUGGCCUCCUCACACCUACAACUUCAUCAAAACCGAACCCUUUCACUCCACUGCCAGCUCUUGAUUGGCCAGUGACUGGCCUCCUCACACCUACAACUUCAUCAAAACCGAACCCUUUCACUCCACUGCCAGCUCUUGAUUGGCCAGUGACUGGCCUCCUCACACCUACAACUUCAUCAAAACCGAACCCUUUCACUCCACUGCCAGCUCUUGAUUGGCCAGUGACUGGCCUCCUCACACCUACAACUUCAUCAAAACCGAACCCUUUCACUCCACUGCCAGCUCUUGAUUGGCCAGUGACUGGCCUCCUCACACCUACAACUUCAUCAAAACCGAACCCUUUCACUCCACUGCCAGCUCUUGAUUGGCCAGUGACUAGCCUCCUCACACCUACAACUUCAUCAAAACCGAACCCUUUCACUCCACUGCCAGCUCUUGAUUGGCCAGUGACUGGCCUCCUCACACCUACAACUUCAUCAAAACCGAACCCUUUCACUCCACUGCCAGCUCUUGAUUGGCCAGUGACUGGCCUCCUCACACCUACAACUUCAUCAAAACCGAACCCUUUCACUCCACUGCCAGCUCUUGAUUGGCCAGUGACUGGCCUCCUCACACCUACAACUUCAUCAAAACCGAACCCUUUCACUCCACUGCCAGCUCUUGAUUGGCCAGUGACUGGCCUCCUCACACCUACAACUUCAUCAAAACCGAACCCUUUCACUCCACUGCCAGCUCUUGAUUGGCCAGUGACUGGCCUCCUCACACCUACAACUUCAUCAAAACCGAACCCUUUCACUCCACUGCCAGCUCUUGAUUGGCCAGUGACUGGCCUCCUCACACCUACAACUUCAUCAAAACCGAACCCUUUCACUCCACUGCCAGCUCUUGAUUGGCCAGUGACUGGCCUCCUCACACCUACAACUUCAUCAAAACCGAACCCUUUCACUCCACUGCCAGCUCUUGAUUGGCCAGUGACUGGCCUCCUCACACCUACAACUUCAUCAAAACCGAACCCUUUCACUCCACUGCCAGCUCUUGAUUGGCCAGUGACUGGCCUCCUCACACCUACAACUUCAUCAAAACCGAACCCUUUCACUCCACUGCCAGCUCUUGAUUGGCCAGUGACUGGCCUCCUCACACCUACAACUUCAUCAAAACCGAACCCUUUCACUCCACUGCCAGCUCUUGAUUGGCCAGUGACUGGCCUCCUCACACCUACAACUUCAUCAAAACCGAACCCUUUCACUCCACUGCCAGCUCUUGAUUGGCCAGUGACUGGCCUCCUCACACCUACAACUUCAUCAAAACUGAACCCUUUCACUCCACUGCCAGCUCUUGAUUGGCCAGUGACUGGCCUCCUCACACCUACAACUUCAUCAAAACCGAACCCUUUCACUCCACUGCCAGCUCUUGAUUGGCCAGUGACUGGCCUCCUCACACCUACAACUUCAUCAAAACCGAACCCUUUCACUCCACUGCCAGCUCUUGAUUGGCCAGUGACUGGCCUCCUCACACCUACAACUUCAUCAAAACCGAACCCUUUCACUCCACUGCCAGCUCUUGAUUGGCCAGUGACUGGCCUCCUCACACCUACAACUUCAUCAAAACCGAACCCUUUCACUCCACUGCCAGCUCUUGAUUGGCCAGUGACUGGCCUCCUCACACCUACAACUUCAUCAAAACCGAACCCUUUCACUCCACUGCCAGCUCUUGAUUGGCCAGUGACUGGCCUCCUCACACCUACAACUUCAUCAAAACCGAACCCUUUCACUCCACUGCCAGCUCUUGAUUGGCCAGUGACUGGCCUCCUCACACCUACAACUUCAUCAAAACCGAACCCUUUCACUCCACUGCCAGCUCUUGAUUGGCCAGUGACUGGCCUCCUCACACCUACAACUUCAUCAAAACCGAACCCUUUCACUCCACUGCCAGCUCUUGAUUGGCCAGUGACUGGCCUCCUCACACCUACAACUUCAUCAAAACCGAACCCUUUCACUCCACUGCCAGCUCUUGAUUGGCCAGUGACUGGCCUCCUCACACCUACAACUUCAUCAAAACCGAACCCUUUCACUCCACUGCCAGCUCUUGAUUGGCCAGUGACUGGCCUCCUCACACCUACAACUUCAUCAAAACCGAACCCUUUCACUCCACUGCCAGCUCUUGAUUGGCCAGUGACUGGCCUCCUCACACCUACAACUUCAUCAAAACCGAACCCUUUCACUCCACUGCCAGCUCUUGAUUGGCCAGUGACUGGCCUCCUCACACCUACAACUUCAUCAAAACCGAACCCUUUCACUCCACUGCCAGCUCUUGAUUGGCCAGUGACUGGCCUCCUCACACCUACAACUUCAUCAAAACCGAACCCUUUCACUCCACUGCCAGCUCUUGAUUGGCCAGUGACUGGCCUCCUCACACCUACAACUUCAUCAAAACCGAACCCUUUCACUCCACUGCCAGCUCUUGAUUGGCCAGUGACUGGCCUCCUCACACCUACAACUUCAUCAAAACCGAACCCUUUCACUCCACUGCCAGCUCUUGAUUGGCCAGUGACUGGCCUCCUCACACCUACAACUUCAUCAAAACCGAACCCUUUCACUCCACUGCCAGCUCUUGAUUGGCCAGUGACUGGCCUCCUCACACCUACAACUUCAUCAAAACCGAACCCUUUCACUCCACUGCCAGCUCUUGAUUGGCCAGUGACUGGCCUCCUCACACCUACAACUUCAUCAAAACCGAACCCUUUCACUCCACUGCCAGCUCUUGAUUGGCCAGUGACUGGCCUCCUCACACCUACAACUUCAUCAAAACCGAACCCUUUCACUCCACUGCCAGCUCUUGAUUGGCCAGUGACUGGCCUCCUCACACCUACAACUUCAUCAAAACCGAACCCUUUCACUCCACUGCCAGCUCUUGAUUGGCCAGUGACUGGCCUCCUCACACCUACAACUUCAUCCAAACCGAACCCUUUCACUCCACUGCCAGCUCUUGAUUGGCCAGUGACUGGCCUCCUCACACCUACAACUUCAUCCAAACCGAACCCUUUCACUCCACUGCCAGCUCUUGAUUGGCCAGUGACUGGCCUCCUCACACCUACAACUUCAUCAAAACCGAACCCUUUCACUCCACUGCCAGCUCUUGAUUGGCCAGUGACUGGCCUCCUCACACCUACAACUUCAUCAAAACCGAACCCUUUCACUCCACUGCCAGCUCUUGAUUGGCCAGUGACUGGCCAAGGCCUCUUCACACCUACAACUUCAUCAAAACCGAACCCUUUCACUCCACUGCCAGCUCUUGAUUGGCCAGUGACUGGCCAAGGCCUCCUCACACCUACAACUUCAUCAAAACCGAACCCUUUCACUCCACUGCCAGCUCUUGAUUGGCCAGUGACUGGCCAAGGCCUCCUCACACCUACAACUUCAUCAAAACCGAACCCUUUCACUCCACUGCCAGCUCUUGAUUGGCCAGUGACUGGCCAAGGCCUCCUCACACCUACAACUUCAUCAAAACCGAACCCUUUCACUCCACUGCCAGCUCUUGCACUCAUAAUAAGGGCUGUGAAAAUAUUUAUUUAUGACCUAUAG